rnacentral:lncRNA from 1 species
UGUCCCAAUGGCGGGACCCACAGCAGGAUUUGGAUGCAGUGAAGAAACCUGAAUGGGUUAUCCUAAUAGGCGUUUGUACUCAUCUUGGUUAUGUACCCAUUGCAAAUGCAGGAGAUUUUGGUGGUUAUUACUGCCCUUGCCAUGGGUCACACUAUGAUGCAUCAGGCAGGAUCAGGAAGGGGCCUGUGCCUCUCAGCCUUGAAGUUGUCUCCUAUGAGUUCACCAGUGAUGAUAUAGUGAUUGUUGGUUAGAGAUUUUGAACUAAAGUCCUAGGCUGCCUUCAUUUUUCACAUCACCUCAGAAGAGUUGAGGGCAAGCUUCCUGUACUUCUAAGUUGGUUGAUUUGAAAUAUUUAAGAAUUGUUAAUAGUGUACUUGCAAAUAUGAAGUAAAUUGAAUUUAAUAUUGAAUGCUUACAAGCAUUCACUUAAUAAAGCUACUGUUAAACAUUGUUAAAAAAAUAAAAUAUAAAAAGGGCUGUGGCUGUGUG